rnacentral:rRNA from 1 species
AUUGAACGCUGGCGGCAGGCCUAACACAUGCAAGUCGAGCGGAUGAGUGGAGCUUGCUCCAUGAUUCAGCGGCGGACGGGUGAGUAAUGCCUAGGAAUCUGCCUGGUAGUGGGGGACAACGUUUCGAAAGGAACGCUAAUACCGCAUACGUCCUACGGGAGAAAGUGGGGGAUCUUCGGACCUUACGCUAUCGGAUGAGCCUAGGUCGGAUUAGCUAGUUGGUGAGGUAAAGGCUCACCAAGGCGACGAUCCGUAACUGGUCUGAGAGGAUGAUCAGUCACACUGGAACUGAGACACGGUCCAGACUCCUACGGGAGGCAGCAGUGGGGAAUAUUGGACAAUGGGCGAAAGCCUGAUCCAGCCAUGCCGCGUGUGUGAAGAAGGUCUUCGGAUUGUAAAGCACUUUAAGUUGGGAGGAAGGGCAGUAAGUUAAUACCUUGCUGUUUUGACGUUACCAACAGAAUAAGCACCGGCUAACUUCGUGCCAGCCGCCGCGGUAAAAC